rnacentral:rRNA from 1 species
AACCUUGCGCAAUGGGCGAAAGCCUGACGCAGCCAUGCCGCGUGAUGGAUGAAGGUCUUAGGAUUGUAAAAUUCUUUCACCGGGGACGAUAAUGACGGUACCCGGAGAAGAAGCCCCGGCUAACUUCGUGCCAGCAGCCGCGGUAAUACGAAGGGGGCUAGCAUUGCUCGGAAUUACUGGGCGUAAAGGGCGCGUAGGCGGAUCGUUAAGUCAGGAGUGAAAUCCCGGGGCUCAACCUCGGAAUUGCCAUUGAUACUGGCAAUCUUGAGUAUGAGAGAGGUAUGUGGAACUCCGAGUGUAGGGGUGAAAUUCGUAGAUAUUCGGAAGAACACCAGUGGCGAAGGCGACAUACUGGCUCAUUACUGACGCUGAGGCGCGAAAGCGUGGGGAGCAAACAGU